GACGAACGCUGGCGGCGUGCCUAAUACAUGCAAGUCGAGCGAAGUGGAGAGAGCUUGCUCUCAAAGCUUAGCGGCGAACGGGUGAGUAACACGUGGGCAACCUGCCUGACAGACUGGGAUAACUUGGGGAAACUCAAGCUAAUACCGGAGAGGAUCGCGAACCGCAUGGAUUGCGAUGGAAAGUCUGAACGACACUGUCAGAUGGGCCUGCGGCGCAUUAGCUAGUUGGUGGGGUAAUGGCCUACCAAGGCGACGAUGCGUAGCCGACCUGAGAGGGUGACCGGCCACACUGGGACUGGGACACGGCCCAGACUCCUACGGGAGGCAGCAGUAGGGAAUCUUCCACAAUGGGCGAAAGCCUGAUGGAGCAACGCCGCGUGAGUGAUGAAGGUUUUCGGAUCGUAAAACUCUGUUGUUAGGGAAGAACACCCGGGAGAGGAUCCCGGUUUGACGGUACCUAACGAGGAAGCCCCGGCUAACUACGUGCCAGCAGCCGCCGUAACAC
rnacentral:rRNA from 1 species